rnacentral:rRNA from 1 species
ACGGGUGAGUAACACGUGGGUAAUCUGCCCUCGAGCGGGGGAUAACAUUCCGAAAGGAGUGCUAAUACCGCAUAAGACCACGACCUCGAAAGAGGAUGCGGUCAAAGCUGGCCUCUAUACAUAAGCUAGCACUUGAGGAUGAGCCCGCGGCGCAUCAGCUAGUUGGUGAGGUAAUGGCUCACCAAGGCGAAGACGCGUAGCUGGUCUGAGAGGAUGAUCAGCCACACUGGAACUGAGACACGGUCCAGACUCCUACGGGAGGCAGCAGUGGGGAAUCUUGCGCAAUGGGCGAAAGCCUGACGCAGCGACGCCGCGUGAGUGAUGAAGGCCUUCGGGUUGUAAAGCUCUGUGGGGAGAGACGAAUAAGUGCAGCCUAAUACGUUGCAUGAUGACGGUAUCUCCUUAGCAAGCACCGGCUAACUCUGUGCCAGCAGCCGCGGUAAGACAGAGGGUGCAAACGUUGUUCGGAAUUACUGGGCGUAAAGCGAGUGUAGGCGGUCUGAUAAGUCAGGUGUGAAAGCCCUGGGCUCAACCCAGGAAGUGCACUUGAAACUGCCAGGCUAGAGUAUCGGAGAGGUUGGUGGAAUUCU